UACGUAGGGGGCCAGCGUUGUUCGGAAUUACUGGGUGUAAAGGGUUCGUAGGCGGUGCGGCAAGUUGGGAGUGAAAUCUCUGGGCUCAACCCAGAGGCUGCUUCCGAAACUGCCGUGCUAGAGUGCGGGAGAGGCGAGUGGAAUUACGGGUGUAGCGGUGAAAUGCGUAGAUAUCCGUAGGAACAUCCGAGGCGAAGGCGGCUCGCUGGAUCACAACUGACGCUGAGGGACGAAAGCUAGGGGAGCAAACAGG
rnacentral:rRNA from 1 species